rnacentral:rRNA from 1 species
UACGUAGGGUGCGAGCGUUGUCCGGAAUUAUUGGGCGUAAAGAGCUCGUAGGCGGUCUGUCGCGUCGAUCGUGAAAACUUGGGGCUUAACCCUGAGCUUGCGGUCGAUACGGGCAUGACUGGAGUUCGGCAGGGGAGACUGGAAUUCCUGGUGUAGCGGUGAAAUGCGCAGAUAUCAGGAGGAACACCGGUGGCGAAGGCGGGUCUCUGGGCCGAUACUGACGCUGAGGAGCGAAAGCUAGGGGAGCAAACGGG